rnacentral:rRNA from 1 species
AUGAAACUGAAUAAAGCACCGGGACCAGACGGGUUUCAAGCUGAAUUCUAUAAGAAAUGUUGGCAUAUUAUUAAGAAUGAUGUUAUACCUAUGUUUCAUGAUUUCUUUAGCGGUCAUUUGGAGCUGUUUCAUCUUAACUUUGGCAUGAUUACGUUGUUGCCAAAGAAAGAAGAGGCGGUUCUGAUCGAGCAAUUUCGGCCCAUAUGUCUUCUCAAUGUGAGUUUCAAAAUUUUCACAAAGGUGGAUAUCAAUAGAUUGACACAGAUUGCUCAUUCAGUGGUACAACCGAGUCGGACAACGUUCAUGCGAGGGUGA